rnacentral:misc_RNA from 1 species
GCAUAUUUCUCCAUUCCCGGCUGCUCAUCGAAUGGCCUUUCCAUUAUCUUCAGCAGUCGACGAACCUCUCCAAAAUCACCCUGCUCGGCUGCAUCUAUGGCAGUCUGGCACAGGUAGUUCCUCAAAAUAUAUUUAGGAUUUACUGCAUCCAUAGAGGCCUUCCGCUCCUCAUCCGAAAUGCCACUUCCAGACAGCUCCUCCAUGUAGGUCUUUACCCAGCUAACCCAAG